rnacentral:rRNA from 1 species
UCGAAAGACCUUAUGCUUUUGGAGCGGCCGAUGUCUGAUUAGCUAGUUGGUAAGGUAAUGGCUUACCAAGGCAACGAUCAGUAGUUGGUCUGAGAGGACGACCAGCCACACUGGGACUGAGACACGGCCCAGACUCCUACGGGAGGCAGCAGUGGGGAAUUUUGGACAAUGGGCGCAAGCCUGAUCCAGCAAUGCCGCGUGAGUGAAGAAGGCCUUCGGGUUGUAAAGCUCUUUCAGUUGAGAAGAAAAGAUUGUGACUAAUAAUUGCAAUUCAUGACGGUAUCAACAGAAGAAGCACCGGCUAACUACGUGCCAGCAGCCGCGGUAAUACGUAGGGUGCGAGCGUUAAUCGGAAUUACUGGGCGUAAAGGGUGCGCAGGCGGUUCUGUAAGUCAGAUGUGAAAUCCCCGGGCUUAACCUGGGAACUGCGUUUGAA